UGAGCAUCGCUGAUGAAUAUCCUAUUAUUGUUAUCCUUGCACUUUGAUUGCUAGUGAAGAAACCCAUGGGGAAAAUUUUUCUGAGAUGCUC
rfam:Morus notabilis contig15610, whole genome shotgun sequence.